GAAGUGCGAUAAGCAAUGCGAAUUGCAGAACCGCGAGUCAUCAGAUUUUUGAACGCAAGUGGCGGCAGCUUCGGCUGUCAUGUUUGUUUCAGGUGCCAUAAUUGAAGAAAUUCUCUCACAAAAUAUGGAAUAAUGUCAAUGAAGACUCCAAACGAACUAGUCACUAAAUGGUGAUAAUCGUUUGAGGAUCGAAAUUGGUGAAUCAUUAUUCAAAAAGAAAUUAUCCAAUUAUGGCACCUGAAAUAAGCAAGAGUACCCGCUGAACUUAA
rnacentral:misc_RNA from 1 species